rfam:Catenulispora acidiphila DSM 44928, complete genome.
GGGCCUAUGGCACAGUUGGUUAGCGCGCCGCCCUGAUAAGGCGGAGGUCGGUGGUUCAAGUCCACCUAGGCCCA